rnacentral:misc_RNA from 1 species
UUUCCGUAGGUGAACCUGCGGAAGGAUCAUUAACGAGUUAGGGUCUUUCUGGUCUGACCUCCCAACCCUUUGUCUACUCGACCAUCGUUGCUUCGACGAGUCUGUUCUCACUGACCGCCUGAGUGAUCUUUACUGACCCUCUGGUUCGCGCUCGUCAGUAGCCCAACCUUUAAAAUCUUUAACUAAACGUGCCUUAAUCUAAGUACAAUUAUUAAAUAAAAGCAAAACUUUCAGCAACGGAUCUCUUGGUUCUG